AACGAACGCUGGCGGCAUGCCUAACACAUGCCAGUCGAACGAGACCUUUGGGUCUAGUGGCGCACGGGUGCGUAACGCGUGGGAACCUGCCCUUAGGUUCGGAAUAACUCCCCGAAAGGGGUGCUAAUACCGGAUAAUGUCUUCGGACCAAAGAUUUAUCGCCUUUGGAUGGGCCCGCGUUGGAUUAGCUAGUUGGUAGGGUAAAAGCCUACCAAGGCGACGAUCCAUAGCUGGUCUGAGAGGAUGAUCAGCCACACUGGGACUGAGACACGGCCCAGACUCCUACGGGAGGCAGCAGUGGGGAAUAUUGGACAAUGGGCGAAAGCCUGAUCCAGCAAUGCCGCGUGAGUGAUGAAGGCCUUAGGGUUGUAAAGCUCUUUUACCCGGGAUGAUAAUGACAGUACCGGGAGAAUAAGCUCCGGCUAACUCCGUG
rnacentral:rRNA from 1 species